rnacentral:rRNA from 2 species
UGAAGCGGGAAGAGCUCAAAUUUGAAAUCUGGCACCUUUGGUGUCCGAGUUGUAAUUUCUAGAGGUGUUUUCAGUGCUUAGCUAGGUAUAAAUCCUUUGGAACAGGGUAUCAUAGAGGGUGAGAAUCCCGUCUUUGACCUAGAUUAAGUACUAUGUGAUACACUUUCGAAGAGUCGAGUUGUUUGGGAAUGCAGCUCUAAAUGGGUGGUAAAUUCCAUCUAAAGCUAAAUAUAGGCGAGAGACCGAUAGCGAACAAGUACCGUGAGGGAAAGAUGAAAAGAACUUUGAAAAGAGAGUGAAAAAGUACGUGAAAUUGCUAAAAGGGAAGCGAAAGAGACCAGUCUUACUGGCUAAUAAUCAGCCUUACUUUUGUAUGGUGCACUUAUUAGUUAGUAGGCCAACAUCAGUUUUCUUUAUUAGAUAAUGGUUGUAGGAAUGUAGCUUCUUGUAAGUGUUAUAGCCUGUUACUUGAUAUAAUAGAGGGGACUGAGGACUGCAGCGUGCUGUAAUGC